CUGAAAGCCACAUGCAGGAUACUGAGGACAUUUGCUUCUAACAGAGUUACCACUGCACCAAGCAGCUGUUCAAGGAACUUCCAACUUGCGGGAUAUUCGAUGGCCCAGUUCCUACCAUUGUGUGCACAGUGAAGGCGGGCUCGAG